GGAGGAAAAUGAAGCGGCAAGAGCUCAAUUUGAAAUCUGGCCUCCUCCGGGGGUCCGAGUUGUAAUUUGCAGAGGAUGCUUCGGGUGCGGCCCCCGUCUAAGUUCCUUGGAAUAGGACGUCAGAGAGGGUGAGAAUCCCGUCUUGGGCGGGCGGCCCGCGCCCGUGUGAAGCUCCUUCGACGAGUCGAGUUGUUUGGGAAUGCAGCUCUAAGCGGGUGGUAAAUUUCAUCUAAAGCUAAAUAUUGGCCGGAGACCGAUAGCGCACAAGUAGAGUGAUCGAAAGGUUAAAAGCACCUUGAAAAGGGAGUUAAACAGCACGUGAAAUUGUUGAAAGGGAAGCGCUUGCGGCCAGACUCGGGGGCGGGGUUCAGCGGGCGCUCGUCGCCCGUGCACUCCCCGCGCCCCGGGCCAGCAUCAGUUUCGACGGUCGGUCAAAGGCCCCCGGAAUGUGUCGUCUCUAGGGACGUCUUAUAGCCGGGGGUGCAAUGCGGCCCGUCGGGACUGAGGAACGCGCUUCGGCUCGGAUGCUGGCGUAAUGGCCGUAAGCGGCCCGUCUUGAAACACGGACCAAGGAGUCUAACAUCCACGCGAGUGUUCGGGUGUCAAACCCGUGCGCGCAGUGAAAGCGAACGGAGGUGGGAGCCUUUGGGCGCACCAUCGACCGAUCCUGAAGUCUUCGGAUGGAUUUGAGUGGGAGCGUGGCCGUUGGGACCCGAAAGAUGGUGAACUAUGCCUGAAUAGGGUGAAGCCAGAGGAAACUCUGGUGGAGGCUCGCAGCGGUUCUGACGUGCAAAUCGAUCGUCAAAUUU
rnacentral:rRNA from 1 species